GAUGAACGCUGGCGGCGUGCCUAAUACAUGCAAGUCGAGCGAACGGACGAGAAGCUUGCUUCUCUGAUGUUAGCGGCGGACGGGUGAGUAACACGUGGAUAGCCUACCUAUAAGACUAGGAUAACUUCGGGAAACCGGAGCUAAUACCGGAUGAUAUUUUGAACCGCAUGGUUCAAUAGUGAAAGACGGUCUUGCUGUCACUUAUAGAUGGAUCCGCGCUGCAUUAGCUAGUUGGUAAGGUAACGGCUUACCAAGGCAACGAUGCAUAGCCGACCUGAGAGGGUGAUCGGCCACACUGGAACUGAGACACGGUCCAGACUCCUACGGGAGGCAGCAGUAGGGAAUCUUCCGCAAUGGGCGAAAGCCUGACGGAGCAACGCCGCGUGAGUGAUGAAGGUCUUCGGAUCGUAAAACUCUGUUAUUAGGGAAGAACAUAUGUGUAAGUAACUGUGCACAUCUUGACGGUACCUAAUCAGAAAGCCACGGCUAACUACGUG
rnacentral:rRNA from 1 species